UACGUAGGUGGCAAGCGUUGUCCGGAUUUACUGGGCGUAAAGGGCGUGCAGGCGGUCUGUUAAGUGCAGGGUGAAAGCUCCCGGCUCAACUGGGAGAGGUCCUUGCAUACUGGCGGACUUGAGGGGGGUAGAGGAAAGUGGAAUUCCCGGUGUAGUGGUGAUAUGCGUAGAUAUCGGGAAGAACACCCGUGGCGAAGGCGGUUCUCUGGGACGGUACUGACGCUGAGACGCGAAAGCGUGGGGAGCGAACAGG
rnacentral:rRNA from 1 species